AAGGAAAAAAGGGUAUGUUUUUAAAAGAGUGGAAAAUUAUUUUUUGAAAACCGUACCAAACAGGCUCUAAAACUCUAAAAAUAUUUUCAGUUUUCUUUUCUCCAGCAGAGGAGGCGACUCCAUUAUUCAUCUUCAACCUUCUUCCACCUUAUUUGCUAAGUAAAAUCCCACUCUUACAUCACCACGGUCAUCUCUAUCUGUUGCUGAUUUGGUUGAUAUCAAAUGGAUUCUACAGAUGCCCUAGGUCCCAUGACUUAUAUGGAGAAGAUUAAUAAAGGGAGCUAAUAGCACCUAAUGGUGUUCCUUGAAUGGUGCUGAAGAUCCUCUGGAAUAAGAUAUCUUAGUGGAGUUUUCACUUACACGUUAGUUAAAGAAUACUUGGACUUUGCUCUUAUACAUAGGUUGAAGAAUAAUACCUUAGUUUGCUAUCAUUCAUUAAUUCUUUAUUCAUUCAUUUUUUCUUACAAAAGUAUCAAAACGGGUGAAGAUUCUAGUUAGUUUUGCUUUCUAUUUGCUAGAGAUUAUUAUCACUUUUGUUAUAGAUUUUUCGGUUUGCUUAAAGAUUAUUAUCAGGUAGCUUACUGAAUCUACUAUUAUUAUUUGUAAAUUUCCUUUCUCUGUUGUAGAGAGUAAACUCUAUUGUUUAUACAAGCAGCCUGGAUUUCUACUUAAACAGGUUAGCAGAAUAAGUAUUUCAGUGUAAAACUGGAACUUAUAGUGUAAAACAAGAACUGCAAUAUUUAAAAUUAGGAUCGGAUCGGUUUGGAGACUCGUUUUACCCGAGUCAACUCGACCUGGUUUACAUGUAAUCGGUAAACCGCUACCGAAUUGAAUCGAUCUGACACUAGAUCAGACGGUUCAUAACCCGAUCUAAAAGUUCAAUACUAAUUGGGGCAGCUGGAAAAAAAACCCGACUUGUAUGGUUUUAUAGUCGGUAGGGAUGAAAACCGAUCCGGAUCGACCGUCGUGCACCCCUAGUGGAGAUUGAUCAUCACUGCUUCAGGGAAUUAGUUGAAAAUGGUUUCCUACUUACCUUUUUAGGUAGAAGAUGUGUUUACAAGGUCUUACUCGUACUUUGUUUACUUCUUGUAUGUCCAAGUUGAUGUAUUUUUCUAAGCAUCAGUUUGAGGGGGAAUGUAAAUAUAUAAAGUGUUUGUUGUAACUUGAUAUAAUUUGUGUCUAUAAUGAUUCAGUACUUGUCAUUGUAUUAUGUUAUCUUGUUAGUAGUAUAAUAUGAACUUUAAGAACUAA